UGGAAGUAAAAGUCGUAACAAGGUCUCCGUUGGUGAACCAGCGGAGGGAUCAUUGCUGGAACGCGCCUCGGCGCACCCAGAAACCCUUUGUGAACUUAUACCUAUUGUUGCCUCGGCGAAGGCCGGCCUCUCUUCUGAGGCCCCCCGGAGACGGGGAGCAGCCCGCCGGCGGCCAACCAAACUCUUGUUUCUUAGUGAAUCUCUGAGUAAAAAACAUAAAUGAAUCAAAACUUUCAACAACGGAUCUCUUGGUUCUGGCAUCGAUGAAGAACGCAGCGAAAUGCGAUAAGUAAUGUGAAUUGCAGAAUUCAGUGAAUCAUCGAAUCUUUGAACGCACAUUGCGCCCUCUGGUAUUCCGGAGGGCAUGCCUGUUCGAGCGUCAUUUCAACCCUCAAGCCUGGCUUGGUGUUGGGGCACUGCCUGUAAAAGGGCAGGCCCUGAAAUCUAGUGGCGAGCUCGCUAGGACCCCGAGCGUAGUAGUUAUAUCUCGUUCUGGAAGGCCCUGGCGGUGCCCUGCCGUUAAACCCCCAACUUCUGAAAUUUGACCUC
rnacentral:rRNA from 1 species